rnacentral:rRNA from 1 species
GAUGAACGUGGCGGCGUGCCUAAUACAUGCAAGUCGAACGAGAACCACUGGACUCGUCUGGUGGGGAGAGUGGCGCACGGGUGAGUAACACAUGGCUGACCUGCCCUUCAGGGGGGGACAACCACUAGAAAUGGUGGCUAAUACCCCAUACGCUCACAGGAUUUAGAAGCUUGUGAGGAAAGUGAUUAGCGCUGAAGGAGGGGGCUGUGGCCCAUCAGCUAGUUGGUAGGGUAACGGCCUACCAAGGCGAGGACGGGUAGGGGGCCUGAGAGGGUGACCCCCCACACGGGUACUGAGACACGGACCCGACUCCUACGGGAGGCAGCAGUAAGGGAUAUUGCGACAAUGGGCGUAAGCCUGACGCAGCAACGCCGCGUGUGGGAUGACGGCCUUCGGGUUGUAAACCACUUUUCGGGGGGAAGAGGAAGGACGGUACCCCCGGAAUAAGUCUCGGCUAACUACGUGCCAGCAGCCGCGGUAAAACGUAGGAGGCGAACGUUAUCCGGAUUUACUGGGUGUAAAGCGCGUGCAGGCGGUGUCGUAAGUCGUGUGUGAAAGCGCUCAGGCUCAACCGGGCGAGGCCAGGCGAAACUGCGGCAC